CCCCAGUGGCCUGGGCCUGGUCUCAGCCGGCGGUUCCUCCUCCUGGGCGUCCGCCUCCUCUUCUGCUGCGCCCAUGGUUCCUCCCGGAGCCCGGGCCUGUGCCGGGGCCAGGACGGUGGGGCCCGCGAUUGCGGCGUGGUGAGCGGGCGGCGCGGGGAUGAUGCGGGCCUCGCGUUGCCGCUGCUGCUGCUGCCACCGCUUGGUGUCGGCCGCGCUGCUGCUGGCGCUGAGCGGUCAGCUGUCGUCGCUGCUGCUGCUGUUGCUGUUACCGGACAGAGCGGCCGCCCACGUCCCGUUCCAGUCUUCUCAGGGGACCCCGCUGACGCCAUCCCAGCCCCCGCCUCCGCCCCGGGCCUCAGGCACUGCCUUCCCGGCCGGGCCGGGCCUCUUGGGCCUCCCAAGCAGCGGCCGAACCGUGUCCCCUUCCGGGCAGGCCGGAAUCAGCGGCAAUGGCAGCGGCCCCGCAGCUGGGCCUGCUGGGGUCGGAGGGGGCGGGCUGGCCGUGUCCCCGAAUUCCGGCGACAAGCCUAUGACCCAGAGGGCCCUGUUGGUGCUGAUGGCGGUGAGCGCCGCGGUCCUUGUGUACUUUGUGAUCAGAACCAUCAGAAUGAGAAGAAGAAAUAGAAAGACACGAAGAUAUGGAGUUUUGGACACAAAUCUGGAAAAUAUGGAAUUAACACCUUUAGAACAAGAUGAUGAUGAUGAUGAUACAACUUUGUUUGAUGCCAAUCAUCCCCGAAGGUUUUGGUGAUAUUCCUGUAUCCUGGUUCUCCUCCUACCUGUCUGACCAGUCCUUCUCAGUCUCCUUUGCUGAAUCUUCUUCCAGUCCACUGAAGAUAAGAAUGUGCCUUUAAUGAGAGAACUUCAUUGGUGAACAUCGAAGAAAGAAGCUUAUGAUUAAGGAAUAAAAAGCUAAUAUCAGUCACAGCAUGGGGUGUAUUUAAGUUAUAUAUAUUAUGACCUUUAAUUUGUUGUUGAAAUAAAUACUGUAUCAGUUUGUUGCAUCUUUGUAUAUAUAGGAAUGUUCUAUUAAAGAGCUCAAAUCUGAAAAAAAAAUGCAGUAAAAUAGAAAUCUACUUGAAAAUUACCAUUAAAAUAGAGUUUUUUCAACUUUGUUUUCUUUCCUGCUUGCCAUAAUGUGGUGAACAGUUUCUGUUUAUAUGCUAAUCAGCUAUUGUUAAUUGUUUUGCUGGUGUAAUGUUUAAGUAAUUAUCAAUUGUAACUACCCACUGAAGUACAAAUUCUCUAAUAUAAUUUAAUUUUUUUUUCUCCAACAAAAUGUAUUUCCCAUUUUUGGGGGGAAAUGCCAGAUGUAUUGCUUUGUUUUUGAGUAUUUUUUAAACUAUAUAACUAUAUGAACUAUUGUAUGCAAAGCAAUAAAUGUGAUUUUAAAAGGUUUCAAGUGUUCUAAAAGGAAUAUGAAAGGCAGUGUAAUUUGAAGAUAAAAGCUUAUUUCCAAAAUAACUUUAAAAAUUCUAUGGUAUUAUUUCAAUAAUAUGUAUUUCUCCUGGUUUCAAGAAGUUUUGUGAGUGUUACAUAUUACUAACAUUGCUGUCGUAUAUAAUUCUAUAGUUUCAUAAACCUGGAUGUAUGUAAGAUAUUCAUUUCAAAGACUUUAAAAAAAAUUUUUAGACUUAAGAUAUUUUAAAAAACCAUUAAAUUUCAAAGAUUUA